CGUGUGAGUGCCUUGUUGACUUCACCGACGGUGGGAUCAGCUUGCGGGCAAACCAAGCCCCCAAACGGCUUCAUGGAAAUCAGUGUAACUUCAGAGGAGGGUGUGUCCAAAACAGUCCAUUAUAGCUGCAGUGCUGCUGUGUCCUGUGCCCAACUCAUUGAACUUCCCUUGGGGUACAGCAAAACAACAUUCAGGACCAUCUUAAGGACCCUUGUUUAUGCCAAUAUUUGCUCUCGUCCCUUGGCGUAUUUUGAGGGGGGAAUCUCUCCCCCCACAAAUCUCGUGCGCAUGACACUGAAAGGUCCACACACAGCCUCCAAACAGAACGAUGAUGUCAGAUGAUGAAUUCUAAUUUCUAACAGCAGCUGAAGAAUAUGAAUAAGAGCAUUACAUGCUACAUAAUGCCAUUGUUAGAUGGUUUUGCAGUGCUUAUUUCAUUAAUGAAAUCUGAUAUAAUUGUAAGCCUACUCUGAGUCAAUGUUUCAAUGUAUCGUAGCCAUGUCAAUGAGCUAAGGCUUAGUCACAAACAUAGCGUGAAGUUGGUGGGGUGAAGAUGCAGAGCGGACACAUCCAAAUAGUGCAAAUGUAUUCCCUUCAUGUUAUAUUCGUCAAAGGCAUAUUCAAAUGAUUUUCCCUCCCUCCCUCCCAUGUGCCGGUGAGGCAUGCACGUGGCCGUGUUAUUUUUCCCAGGCUGGCUGCAGGCCAGGUCUAGAGGGGAAGUUAUACCUACAUAAUGUGACCAACACAUGAAAGGAGUGCAGAGAGGAAUGUAUUUUCUUCGAAUGAAAGGUAGAUUAGCACAUAGUUUUCUCAGGCUGGAAAACGAAAACAAUGGCGGGUAAGCUGAUGAGACAAGUUAGUUUGACUUAAAUGUAGGCUAUUGCUCAAUUGACAUGCUUUCCAGUGAAAAGGAACACCAUGUCCCAUGAAAACAAGGCAGAGGAAAACCACAACAUCAAACCAUAUCCUAUUGUGUACUGUACCAUAACAUAUUCUCAAAUGUAAUGUAGUUGAAAUGUAAGUAAAGGGAAUUUCUAUUAGAUUACAUGCAUUUCAAAAGUAUGCCUGCGGUGAUGAAUACAUCCUUUGACAUUUGUUCUCAAUUGCUGCAUGUUGACAUCAGCACACCAUAUAUAGAAUAAAACGAAUUAUGUCAAAUAGAGCAAAUUCACAUCAUAAAUAUCUGCAGGGUCAAGCAAGCUGGCCUCCACCCAAGCAAAUAUAGGCCUGCCUAAUGAAUGAUCAGUGGAGAAUAUCCAUUCAAGCAAAUAUAUUGAAUGGUCAGUGCUACUAUCACAUAGAGUUGUAUGUCAGUGGAUAAACAUGCAAUUGACCCAAACAGCCUUGUACUCUCAUUAUUGUGUCAGACUGGGGACCCGAUGUAAUCUGAUCUCUUGGCUGGCUGUGGCUGCCCUCCUGUGCAACAGACGCCUUGUUUUGUGCCGGACUCUGGAUAAGCGAUUCCAUCUCUGACCGUUGUGAGGUGUAGCGUUCCCCAGAGAAGCGGCUCAGGAUUGUUAGACCCGCUGUCACGUCCUGACCAGUAAAGGGGUUAUUUGUUAUUGUAGUUUGGUCAGGACGUGGCAGGGGGCUGUUCGUUUUAUGUGGUUCGGGGUUUGUUGGGAUAUGUGUUUAUGUAGAGGGGUGUUUGUUUAGAGUAUUCUGG
rnacentral:lncRNA from 1 species